rnacentral:misc_RNA from 1 species
ACCGGGCUGGGGAGGGCAG